rnacentral:rRNA from 1 species
CAGUAGCCGCGGUAAUACGAGGGAUCCUAGCGUUGUUCGGAAUCAUUGGGCGUAAAGGGUGUGUAGGCGGCCAUGUAAGUCAGUUGUGAAAGCCCCGGGCUCAACCCGGGAAGUGCUUCUGAUACUGCUUGGCUUGAGUAUUGGAUAGGUGAGUGGAAUUCCAGGUGUAGUGGUGAAAUACGUAGAUAUCUGGAGGAACACCGGCGGCGAAGGCGGCUCACUGGCCAUAUACUGACGCUGAAACACGAAAGCGUGGGUAGCAAACAGGAUUAGAUACCCCUGUAGUCCCUGUCUCUUAUAC